AAUAUAUUUCAUAUGUUUAAAUUGGUUUGUUAUGUGUAAAAUUUAAUAUAUUAUUUAGAGGACGUUGCACCCACGUGCAUUGCCUCCAUCUUACACACUCAUACGACAAAGUAAAUUUUCGUUCCCCAGUUUCAAUAGUGUGCUUUUAGUUUUGGUAUUACAGUGAAUUGACGUAUUAUCAAACUUUUAGAUGACUUUACUCACAACCGACACCCGUUGAUAAAAUGAACGAAAAAAUUGACCAGUUGUAUAUUCUGCUUGGGAGCUCUGUCUAAUGAUGAUAUAAAUGACAUAUUUUGAAUGAUUAUUGAAAAUCAAGCACUCUAGUAACUGUAUGAUUUAAAGACAGUUUAUUUUACAAUAGUUAUCGAUUUCGUUCGCAUUGUUGGAAAAUAUCAAACUUGUAACUAUCAUAUUUUGUAAUGAUGCAUAAUAAUUUUGAGCAGAGCCAAAAAUAAGUUAUUGCUUAAGGUGUAACAAAUGGUACCACAGUUUUUUUCAACAUUAAUCUCAACAGAACAAUAUAAUAUUUGAGCAGUACGUGAUAUACUUACAAUAAUA